UUGUAACAAUUUUGUGCAAGUAAAUUGAGACCAUUAUUCCAAAUGAAGUGAGACAUAGGAAUGCGUAAGGAGCGAGUGAAUGGAGAAAAUGUUUGUGAGGGAACAUGAAAUCUUUUUACAUCAUACAAAUUUGAAGAUAGGAGUGCAUGGAGCAUAGUUAAUAGCUCCCAUGGUUUAAGAUAUUUUAUCAAGGAUUGGUUAGGUUGGAUUGUGGACAGUUAUAUUUCGUUUAGAGAAAUACUUUGUACUAUUUCAAAAUAAUAUUUACUAAAAAAUCGAGUCCCCACCGAUUCGAACUCCGGUGGCCAAGUGACGAGGGCAUGGUACUAAAAUUAUGGCAAAACGGCUGAGUAACGGUUGGCACCAAUUUGAUUUGAUCAGGCUUGACCUUCUUUUUC
rnacentral:lncRNA from 1 species